CCUACGGGAGGCAGCAGUGAGGAAUAUUGGUCAAUGGACGAGAGUCUGAACCAGCCAAGUAGCGUGAAGGAUGACUGCCCUAUGGGUUGUAAACUUCUUUUAUAUGGGAAUAAAAUGUUCCACGUGUGGGAUUUUGUAUGUACCAUAUGAAUAAGGAUCGGCUAACUCCGUGCCAGCAGCCGCGGUAAUACGGAGGAUGCGAGCGUUAUCCGGAUUUAUUGGGUUUAAAGGGUGCGUAGGCGGAAGGUUAAGUCAGCGGUAAAAUGUCGGUGCUAAACACAGGCCUGCAGUUGAAACUGGUAGUCUUGAGUGAGCGAGAGGUAUGCGGAAUGCGUGGUGUAGCGGUGAAAUGCAUAGAUAUCACGAAGAACUCCGAUUGCGAAGGCAGCAUACCGGCGCUCAACUGACACUGAGGCACGAAAGCGUGGGGAUCGAACAGGAUUAGAUACCCCAGUAGUC
rnacentral:rRNA from 1 species